GACGAACGCUGGCGGCGUGCCUAAUACAUGCAAGUCGAGCGGACGGAUGGGAGCUUGCUCCCAGACCGUCAGCGGCGGACGGGUGAGUAACACGUGGGCAACCUGCCUGUAAGACUGGGAUAACUCCGGGAAACCGGGGCUAAUACCGGAUAACUCUUUCCCUCACAUGAGGGAAAGCUGAAAGAUGGCAUCUCGCUAUCACUUACAGAUGGGCCCGCGGCGCAUUAGCUAGUUGGUGAGGCAACGGCUCACCAAGGCGACGAUGCGUAGCCGACCUGAGAGGGUGAUCGGCCACACUGGGACUGAGACACGGCCCAGACUCCUACGGGAGGCAGCAGUAGGGAAUCUUCCGCAAUGGACGAAAGUCUGACGGAGCAACGCCGCGUGAGUGAUGAAGGUUUUCGGAUCGUAAAACUCUGUUGUCAGGGAAGAACAAGUACCGGAGUAACUGCCGGUACCUUGACGGUACCUGACCAGAAAGCCACGGCUAACUACGUG
rnacentral:rRNA from 1 species